AUACAACUGACGAGUCCCAAAUAGGAUGAAACGCGCGUCUUAAAU
rnacentral:hammerhead_ribozyme from 1 species